AGUCAAGAGUCUUGGCACCGAUUUGGUGAGCGGAUUUCUUUUGCCUAAAGAGAGGUGAAAGAAAAAUG
rfam:Spinacia oleracea cultivar SynViroflay scaffold60457.con0027.1, whole genome shotgun sequence.